rnacentral:misc_RNA from 1 species
GAUGAAGAACGUAGCGAACUGCGAUAAGUAAUGUGAAUUGCAGAAUUCAGUGAAUCAUCGAAUCUUUGAACGCACAUUGCGUCCGCCAGCAUUCUGGCGGGCAUGCCUGUUCGAGCGUCAUUUCAACCCUCGAGCCCCCCCGGGGGCCUCGGUGUUGGGGGACGGCACACCAGCCGCCCCCGAAAUGCAGUGGCGACCCCGCCGCAGCCUCCCCUGCGUAGUAGCACACACCUCGCACCGGAGCGCGGAGGCGGUCACGCCGUAAAACGCCCAACUUUCUUAGAGUUGACCUCGGAUCAGGUAGGAAUACCCGCUGAACUUAAGCAUAUCAAUAAGCGGAGGA